rnacentral:antisense_RNA from 1 species
CUUCAGCGAACCGAGCCACAGCGGUCGGCCGUCGCGUCCCUGGCCGUAGGUGGCCAGCAGUGCCUUGGCCUC